AGCUUUGUUCAGUGGCAGUAUCGUAGCCAGUGAGGUUUAUCUGAGGUGCGAUUAUUGCUAAUUAAAAUAUAGAGGAUAUAAAUAAUAAUAUAUGAAGCAUCUAUGUUUCUGCCUCCAAGAGUUUAUAAUAGUCAAUAAUUUGU
ensembl:snRNA U4 U4 spliceosomal RNA